AACUGACGCUAAUGCGUGAAAGCGUGGGGAGCAAACAGGAUUAGAUACCCUGGUAGUCCACGCCCUAAACGAUGUAUACUAGUUGUUGCUUCGCUAGUCGAGGCAGUAAUGCACCUAACGGAUUAAGUAUACCGCCUGGGGAGUACGGUCGCAAGAUUAAAACUCAAAGGAAUAGACGGGGACCCGCACAAGCGGUGGAGCAUGUGGUUUAAUUCGAAGAUACGCGAAGAACCUUACCCGGACUUGAUAUCUAACAAAUCAUCCAGAGAUGGAAGAGUGUCUGCUUGCAGAAAUGUUAAGACAGGUGCUGCACGGCUGUCGUCAGCUCGUGUCGUGAGAUGUUGGGUUAAGUCCCGCAACGAGCGCAACCCACGUCAUUAGUUGCUAACGGUUCGGCCGAGCACUCUAAUGAGACUGCCUUCGUAAGGAGGAGGAAGGUGUGGACGACGUCAAGUCAUCAUGGCCCUUAUGUCCGGGGCGACACACGUGCUACAAUGGCAUAUACAAUAAGACGCAAUAUCGCGAGAUGGAGCAAAUCUAAAAAAUAUGUCCCAGUUCGGAUUGGAGUCUGCAACUCGACUCCAUGAAGCCGGAAUCGCUAGUAAUCGUAGAUCAGCCAUGCUACGGUGAAUACGUUCCCGGGUCUUGUACUCACCGCCCGUCACACCAUGGGAGUUGAUUUCACUCGAAGCCCAAAUACCAAACCGGUUAUGGUCCACAGUGGAAUCAGCGACUGGGGUGAAGUCGUAACAAGGUAACCGUAGGAGAACCUGCGGUUG
rnacentral:rRNA from 1 species